rnacentral:rRNA from 1 species
UGCCUACAAUCCGUCGGAGCGAUGAUCACUUGUGAUUGUUGUGACGGCGUGCCUUUUGAAGAAUGAGCCUGCGAGUUAGUGAUGCGUGGCGAGGUUAACCCGUGGUGGGGGAGUCGUAGCGAAAGCGAGUCCGAUAAGGGCGUGAGUCGCGUGUUCUAGACCCGAAGCGGUGUGAUCUAUCCAUGGCCAGGAUGAAGGUGCCGUAACAGGUACUGGAGGUCCGAACCCACUACUGUUGCAAAAGUAGGGGAUGAGCUGUGGAUAGGGGUGAAAGGCCAAUCAAACACCGUGAUAGCUGGUUCUCCCCGAAAUGCAUUUAGGUGCAGCGUUACGUGUUUCUUGCCGGAGGUAGAGC